AAUAUGGACUGGGAAGCCGCCCAGCUUGCUUUGCAAGCUGGGAGGAACUUCCGGACUCUUAGGGCAGAGCGCCGCGCGAAAGCGCGGGAGGGCGGGGCAAGACCCCCGUCCGACGGAAAGUGCAACAGAAAAUAUACCGCCCCGCAAGGGGUAAGGGUGAAAUGGCGGGGUAAGAGCCCGCCGCGCAAACAGCAAUGUUUGCGGCAUGGUAAACCCCGCUUUGAGCAAGGCCAAAACUCCGAUGUAUGGCCCGUACGCUACUAGGAAAGUAGGCCGCAUAGAUAAAUGGCUUCCAUGCGUUUUACGCAGACAGAAUCCGGGGUAUAAGUUCAUAUUAAAC
rnacentral:RNase_P_RNA from 1 species